rnacentral:rRNA from 1 species
GACGAACGCUGGCGGCGUGCUUAACACAUGCAAGUCGAACGGAAAGGCCCUGCUUUUGUGGGGUGCUCGAGUGGCGAACGGGUGAGUAACACGUGAGUAACCUGCCCUUGACUUUGGGAUAACUUCAGGAAACUGGGGCUAAUACCGGAUAGGAGCUCCUGCUGCAUGGUGGGGGAUGGAAAGUUUCGGCGGUUGGGGAUGGACUCGCGGCUUAUCAGCCUGUUGGUGGGGUAGUGGCUUACCAGGGCUUUGACGGGUAGCCGGCCUGAGAGGGUGACCGGCCACAUGGGGACUGAGAGACGGCCCAGACGCCUACGGGAGGCAGCAGUGGGGAAUAUGGCACAAUGGGCGGAAGCCUGAUGCAGCAACGCCGCGUGCGGGAUGACGGCCUUCGGGUUGUAAACCGCUUUCGCCUGUGACGAAGCGUGAGUGACGGUAAUGGGUAAAGAAGCACCGGCUAACUACGUG